rnacentral:rRNA from 1 species
AAUAUAAGAUUUAACCUGCCCGCUGAAUAAUUGAAUGGCCGCGGUAUUUUGACCGUGCAAAGGUAGCAUAAUAAUUAGUUUUUUGAUUGAAAGCUGGAAUGAAUGGUUGGACAAGAAAAUUUCUGUCUCUGAUUAAAUUUUUAAUAAAAUUUUAUUUUUAAGUAAAAAAGCUUAAAUAAUAUUAAAAGACGAGAAGACCCUAUAGAGUUUAAUAUUUUUGUUUAAAUAUAAUGUUAAGAAUUAAAUUUUUGUUUAAAUAAAAAUAUUUUAUUGGGGUGAUAAAAGGAUUUAUUAAACUCUUUUUUUAUUUAAACAUUUAUUUAUGAUUAUUUGAUCCAUUUUUUAUGAUUAAAAGAAUAAAUUACCUUAGGGAUAACAGCGUAAUCUUUUUAGAGAGUUCUUAUCGAAAUAAGGGAUUGCGACCUCGAUGUUGGAUUAAAGUUAAUUUUUGGUGUAGAAGCUAGGAAAUUGAGUCUGUUCGACUUUUAAAACUUUACAUGAUCUGAGUUUAAACCGGUGUGAGCCAGGUUGGUUUCUAUCUUUAUUAAAUUAAAAUAUCUUAGUACGAAAGGACCAA